GCCCGAUUAGCUCAGCUGGUUAGAGCGUCGUACUAAUACCGGUACUCCGCCUGUAUAUGGUAUGCGAAGGUCAACAGUUCAAUCCUGUUAUUGGGCA